rnacentral:rRNA from 1 species
AGCAGCCGCGGUAAUUCCAGCUCCAAUAGCGUAUAUUAAAGUUGUUGCAGUUAAAAAGCUCGUAGUUGAAUUUCGGGAUCAAGGAAUCGGUCAUGCCUUGGUAUGUACUGGUUUUAUUGGUUCUCACCUUCUAAAGAACCAUAAUGUCAUUUAUUUGAUGUUAUGGGGAAUUAGGACUGUUACCUUGAAAAAAUUAGAGUGUUUAAAGCAAGCUUACGCUUGAAUACAUUAGCAUGGAAUAAUGAAAUAGGACAUCAGAUUCUAUUUUGUUGGUUUCUAGGAUCGAUGUAAUGAUUAAUAGGGAUAGUUGGGGGCAUUAGUAUUCAAUUGUCAGAGGUGAAAUUCUUGGAUUUAUUGAAGACUAACUACUGCGAAAGCAUUUGCCAAGGAUGUUUUCAUUAAUCAAGAACGAAAGUUAGGGGAUCGAAGACGAUCAGAUACCGUCGUAGUCUUAACCAUAAACUAUGCCGACUAGGGAUCGGAUGAUGUUAAUUUUAUAAUUGACUCAUUCGGA